UUCAAAUGAAAGACGAUUACAUAGGUAUCCUAUUAUGAUACCUUAUACUUCUUAUUAUUCAUAUAAAAGAAAAGAAGAAGAAAAAAACAGUUAAGAAGAUUAAGAAAGAAAUUUCAUGUUUAUUUCCCAAUAUCUUCAAUUAUGAUUGAUUUAUAAAGACAAUAAGAAUAAUAAUAACAAUAAUAAUAACAACAAUAAUAUGAAGAAGAAGAAGAAGAACAAAGUAUCUUGGUAUAUUCAAUUUUGCUUUCUUGUUCUUAUGUGGUAUAUGUAGCUAGUACAAUGUAAAUUUUAAUGUGGGAUUUUAUUUAAACGUGUCAUUUAAUGCGUAUUAUGAUUAAUAUGCAUUAUUCAUACACAUAUCAAUGUAUGUGUAUUUAAAUGAAUAUAGAAUUUAUACCUCGUUGACAAAUUAAAUUUACAAUAUUGAAAUAAGGGUGUCACGAUCAGGUACACGCAUCACGUUCGAUCGUCGACGAUCUUUCAAUAUAUAAAAUAUAUCGAUACCAAACGAUAUUACAUUUGUUAAAAGGCAUAUACGUAUUACGUACAUACGCGUACACGUGCAUACAGAAAAAUUGAGAAAAAAAUAGCAAAAUAGAGCGAGGAAGAGAGAGAGAGAGAGAUGAAAGUUCAUUGUUUACGAGGAAGGACAUCUGUCCUAACAAACGGAGUUUUCGAUGAGGUCUCGUAUUUUUCUAUUCCUGUUGCUUUCUUUGUUAGCUCUUGACAAAAAGGCAUUCGAUAAGGAAGCAUUAGCCGUCCAAAGUACAAUUAUAUCAAAGACCUAUUCAAAUGAAAGACGAUUACAUAGGUAUCCUAUUAUGAUACCUUAUACUUCUUAUUAUUCAUAUAAAAGAAAAGAAGAAGAAAAAAACAGUUAAGAAGAUUAAGAAAGAAAUUUCAUGUUUAUUUCCCAAUAUCUUCAAUUAUGAUUGAUUUAUAAAGACAAUAAGAAUAAUAAUAACAAUAAUAAUAACAACAAUAAUAUGAAGAAGAAGAAGAAGAACAAAGUAUCUUGGUAUAUUCAAUUUUGCUUUCUUGUUCUUAUGUGGUAUAUGUAGCUAGUACAAUGUAAAUUUUAAUGUGGGAUUUUAUUUAAACGUGUCAUUUAAUGCGUAUUAUGAUUAAUAUGCAUUAUUCAUACACAUAUCAAUGUAUGUGUAUUUAAAUGAAUAUAGAAUUUAUACCUCGUUGACAAAUUAAAUUUACAAUAUUGAAAUAAGGGUGUCACGAUCAGGUACACGCAUCACGUUCGAUCGUCGACGAUCUUUCAAUAUAUAAAAUAUAUCGAUACCAAACGAUAUUACAUUUGUUAAAAGGCAUAUACGUAUUACGUACAUACGCGUACACGUGCAUACAGAAAAAUUGAGAAAAAAAUAGCAAAAUAGAGCGAGGAAGAGAGAGAGAGAGAGAUGAAAGUUCAUUGUUUACGAGGAAGGACAUCUGUCCUAACAAACGGAGUUUUCGAUGAGGUCUCGUAUUUUUCUAUUCCUGUUGCUUUCUUUUAUUUUUUGAUUUUGAUUAUUUAACUAAUUAAAUUAUUAAAAUUUUAAUAUAUAUAUAUAUAUAUAUAUAUAUAUGCAUAUAUAUAUAUAUAUAAUAUUAUCACACUGAAAGAAAAAGAGAAUGUUUAUACCAUUUACUAGCUGACGUAUACAAAGCAAAUCUUAUUACAAUGUUUAUAUGUUUCUAUAUAAGCUGAAAUAUCUAAAUACAACUUAUGUUAUUUACUUUCUGUCGAAUAUCGUAUGAGAUCAGUCUUUCGGCAACCACCGAGUUGGAAACUUGAAAGAUCCCGUUUAAACAUACGUUUGUAAAUAGAUAGAUAUGUAUAUAUGUACAUAUGUACAUAACUAGACACAAUAUACACACCCUCACACUCAUACACAAAGUAUAUAGUAGUCUUUCUCUUGGGUAUUGCUUGAGAUUUUAUUAUAUUGUAUAGACAGUAACGAGCAACCUUUGUUCUGCAAUGAGCCAAAAUUAAAUAUCUGAUAUUGUUAUUUAUAGAAUUCAUUAUGAACUAAAAAUGCUUAUAUUGAUUAAAAAAGGAAUUAAUGCUUGAUAGAAAAAGAAAAAUUACACAUUAUUGAAGGGUAUUUGUUAUUUUCGGCAUCAAUUUACAAUGAAAUGUUUUCUAUAAUACCAUUGAUUUUUUAUUAGCAAUACUUUUAAUGUGUACGCAUAAAUGUAUGUAUAUAUAUUUUUGUAAUGGACCGAAAUCUAUUAGUUGUUUAUUUUUAAUUAGAUAUAUGAUUCUACUUCUCGAUAAUAAACUUUUCAUUAUUAUAUUGGAAGACACAAUGGAAGAUAUCGAAUUAAACUCUAAUACAAUCUUUUAUUCGUUUGUCGUUAACGUUAAGAAUUUUGAUAAAAGAUUUCAAUUCUUCGGUUAAUAGUUAAAAUGCCUUUCAAAUGGCCGUAGAUAACAACGCUCUUCACAAAUGUAUCAACGUAAGAUGUAAUACCACUGAUUAAGAAAUUCACUAAUUAUAGUCGACUAUUGUCAUUUUUCGAUGCAAGGUGUAAGUCGUAUUUGCAUUGAUAGGCAGAUGAAUACGUAUAUGAUAAUGUUUUUUUAUAAACCCUGAGUUACUCAUUUCUGAUACAGAUUCAGAUAUAUACAGAUAUCUAUAUAUAUUAUAUAUUAUAUAUUAUAUAUAUAUAAAUAUAUAUACAGAGAGAGAAAGAGAGAGAGAGAGAAAGAAAACGGGGAAAGGAAUCGAGAAUUUGAAUAAAACAAAGAACGAUAUCGAGAUUAAAUUGAAAAGAAACUUUGUUAGCUCUUGACAAAAAGGCAUUCGAUAAGGAAGCAUUAGCCCUCCAAAGUACAAUUAUAUCAAAAACCCAUUCAAAUUAAAGAAGAUUACAUAUGUAUCCUAUUAUGAUACCUUAUACUUCUUAUUAUUCAUAUAAAAGAAAAGAAGAAGAAAAAAAACAGUUAAGAAGAUUAAGAAAGAAAUUUCAUGUUUAUUUCCCAAUAUCUUCAAUUAUGAUUGAUUUAUAAAGACAAUAAGAAUAAUAAUAACAAUAAUAAUAACAACAAUAAUAUGAAAAAGAAGAAGAAGAACAAAGUAUCUUGGUAUAUUCAAUUUUGCUUUCUUGUUCUUAUGUGGUAUAUGUAGCUAGUACAAUGUAAAUUUUAAUGUGGGAUUUCAAUUAAACGUCAUUUAAUGCGUAUUAUGAUUAAUAUGCAUUAUUCAUACACAUAUAUAUAUUUAUAUACACGUAUAUAUAUUUAAAUGAAUGUCGAAUUUAUACCUCGUUGACAAAUUAAAUUUACAAUAUUGAAAUAAGGGUGUCACGAUCAGGUACACGUAUCACGUUCGAUCCUCGACGAUCUUUCUAUAUAUAAAAUAUAUCGAUACCAAACGAUAUUACAUUUGUUAAAAGGCAUAUACGUAUUACGUACAUACGCGUACACGUGCAUACAGAAAAAUUGAGAAAAAAAUAGCAAAAUAGAGCGAGGAAGAGAGAGAGAGAGAGAUGAAAGUUCAUUGUUUACGAGGAAGGACGUCUGUCCUAACAAACGGAGUUUUCGAUGAGGUCUCGUAUUUUUCUAUUCCUGUUGCUUUCUUUUAUUUUUUGAUUUUGAUUAUUUAACUAAUUAAAUUAUUAAAAUUUUAGUAUAUAUAUAUAUAUAUAUAUAUAUAUAUAUAUAUAUAUAUAUAUAUAUAUAUAAUAUUAUCACACUGAAAGAAAAAGAGAAUGUUUAUACCAUUUACUAGCUGA